UAACUCUGGUUUCCCUUCAAAACGCAUAAAUCUUUCGCCUUUUACUAAAGAUUUCCGUGGAGGGGAACACUCAAAUGAGUCUUUGAAAUUUUUGAUGCCCUACUUCCUACAGUAGGGC